UGGGGAAUUUUCCGCAAUGGGCGAGAGCCUGAUGCAGCGACGCCGCGUGGGGGAUGAAGGCCCUAGGGUCGUAAACCCCUUUCAGCAGGGACGAAAAUGACGGUACCUGCCGAAGAAGGCCCGGCCAACUACGUGCCAGCAGCCGCGGUAAGACGUAGGGGCCAAGCGUUGUCCGGAAUUAUUGGGCGUAAAGAGCUCGUAGGCGGUUGCGUAAGUCGGAUGUGAAAGCUCAGGGCUCAACCCUGAGACGCCAUCCGAUACUGCGCUGACUUGAAUCCAGUAGGGGAGUGUGGAAUUCCUGGUGUAGCGGUGAAAUGCGCAGAUAUCAGGAGGAACACCUAUGGCGAAGGCAGCACUCUGGGCUGGUAUUGACGCUGAGGAGCGAAAGCAUGGGUAGCAAACAGGAUUAGAUACCCGGGUAGUCC
rnacentral:rRNA from 1 species